CAGGGCUGAGGAAUGCGCUCAGAGGCAGGAGGUCCCGGGUCCCAGCCUCGCGCGCAGCAGCGCUGGGAACGGUGCUGGACCCAAGUGGGGACAGAGCCCCCUAUGCCUGCGAGGCUGGAUCACCUCAGCCCCACGUGGAUAUUAAAGCAAAAAUCGUAUUUGCAGUGUCUCAGGUUCUAAAAUCACAGCCAGACUCUCUGCACAAAGACCAGCUGUAAAGAAGAGCUGAAAUCAGAAGGAAAAACUGCCCGGGAGAGCAGAGGAACCACCUGAGUGGUGGCUGAGGCACUGGGGGGCAGCCGCCAGGAAGGGGACGGGCACGGGCAUGGGGACGGGGAUGGGGACGGGGAUGGGGAUGGGGAUGGGGAUGGGGAUGGGGAUGGGGAUGCGGAUGGUGCUGAUGGGCGGCUCUUUGGCUGGUGGGGGGGACGGGCCUGGGGCUCCCCGGUGUGCAGGGGUUAAGGCGCUGAGCUCAGCAGUGCUUGGAGAUAAGAUAACCAUUGGCGGAGGGAGGGAGGGCUUUCUCACAGGAACCUUGUGGGAAAAGCAAAACCUCAUGUCGUGGUUCACUAACUGCCCGCCUAAUGAUAUCCCCAAGGGAGCCGGUCAGGCAUCAUAAAAUCAGGCAAUUUGCCCCGGAAAUAGGUGAAGAGAUGUAAAUGUGCCCCCCUGCAGGAGCCAGCAUCCCGCCAGGCAGCUGGUGCAGCGCAGGGCAGGUUUGGUGCUGUGCUUGGGGCGAGGCGAGGGGCCGGGUGCUGUCCUGUUUCCCCAAGUUGCUGUUCCCGGCUUGUUGGGCCGUUACCAUGGAGAAUCAGCAGCCAGGGGAAGGGGGGGGGGGGGGGGGGCCCCUCGGCAGUGCCGGCUGCGGUCACCCCGGGCUCCCUCUCCGCGAUCGCCGGGUCCCGGAGCGGGGCCGGGGGCUGUCGGGGAGCGGUCCCGGCGGGGCAGGGCCCGGGGGCGGCCGCAGCCCGGUGUGUGCACGCCCUCCAGAGCACGGGGAAGGGCGCAGCAGCGCCUUUGUCCUCGGCCGGCCGAGCCCAGACAAAAGGCUCCCUCCUGCUCCGCGUGGCAGCGGGCAGGGCUGCCCCGGGCUGCUCGCCUGGGAAAUGAGGGGACUGCGAAGGGAACCCCCCCGGCAUCGCCCCCCGUGUGCUGUGGGGCGCUGGGUGCUGCUGGUCCCCCCCCCACGUCUCGGCUGUGUCCCCACAGGCAGGGCUGGCGGUCCCACUGCGGGCUCUGGGAGGUCCCCGGGCAGGGGGCUGUUAUUGCCGCCCCCCCCGCUCCCCGUUAGGUGGCAGCUGAGGCCCCCCUCGUGGCUCCAGGCUCCGUGCGUGCUCGCUGUGCUCCUGGGCAGGACACAAAAAGGCUUUCUCCAGCGCAGGACACCGCAGUGGCUGCUUUCCUUUAUCGUGAGUGCCCGGGAGAUUCAUGUUUAUUGCAACUUUUUUUGUGUACUCGUGCCUCUCAGAUAG
rnacentral:lncRNA from 1 species